rnacentral:rRNA from 1 species
AAUCAACGCUGGCGGCGUGCCUCAGACAUGCAAGUCGAACGCGAAAGUUUCCUUCGGGAGACAAGUAGAGUGGCGCACGGGUGAGUAACACGUAGGUAAUCUACCUUCGGAUGGGGAAUAACAAUCGGAAACGGUUGCUAAUACCGCAUAAUGCAGCGGCACCUAAUGGUGACAGUUGUUAAAGCGGGGGAUCGAAAGACCUCGCGUCUGAAGAGGAGCCUGCGGCGGAUUAGCUAGUUGGUAAGGUAAUGGCUUACCAAGGCGACGAUCCGUAACCGGCCUGAGAGGGCGGUCGGUCACACUGACACUGACAUACGGGUCAGACUCCUACGGGAGGCAGCAGUCGGGAAUUUUGGGCAAUGGGCGAAAGCCUGACCCAGCAACGCCGCGUGAAGGAUGAAAUCCCUCGGGAUGUAAAACUUCGACAAGAACGGGAAGAAUAAGCGAGAGUUAAUAUCUUUCGUGAUGACGGUA